GGGAAUAUGGCUUAGUGGUAGAGCACUUGUCUAGCAUGCAUGAAGCCCUGGGUUCAAUUCCUCAGUACCA
rnacentral:tRNA from 1 species